UAGAGAGAUAGGGAGGAAGAGAGGGGGAUAGAGAGCCAGAUGGGGAAAGAGAACACUAAAGUGAUGGAUAGAGAGAUAAUGGUGGAGAGUGGAUGGGUGUGAAAGAACGAUGCAGAGACCGACGGAGAGGGAGGCACUUAGAUACGGAAAGAAAAGGAGGAUGGUAGAGAGACAAAAAGAGUGGUAGAGACACAGAGAGAGCGGAGUGCCGAGAUGGGCGAGUGAGGUGUGGAAGAUGGAGAGAUGAAGAGAGAAACAGGAGUAGAUAGAUAGAAAUAGAGAGAUAGAAAGAUAGAGGGAGUUAGUAGAUAAAGAGAGUAGGGGAGAGAAAAGCAGACGAGAGGUCUACAGGUGAAGAGGGAAAAAAAGACUGAAGAGACAGGGAGAGAAACUAUUGCAGAUACACAUGGGUCAGGAGCCAGCACUGAAACGCCAUGUCUGAAGGGUUUUCUAGGUAGUGGAGGAAGCCUGUGUGUUUAGAGGCCUCCUUCCUCUUCAGGAACCCCAUGGCAUACUCCAUCGCCUCAGCCGCUUUUUUUCCCGCACCAUUUUGUUUCCCAGUUGGCUUCCGUUUUUGAGGUGAGAGUCCCUCACAAGGUGAUACAAUUGGUGAGGUUGGUGCUUCUGGUGAUGUCGGUGCCUCUGGCUCCUCUUGCACUUUCAGAUUGUCCUCACUCUCGUCCAUGCCACAAGAGUCGCGAAGAAACAGAAGUUGCUGAUAAUACUUCCAUUUGGGCACGUAGAUCUCUGCCGCCCCAGCCCCAGACCUGCUGCUCUCCACAACAGCAGCAUGCUCCCUGUUGAACACCGUCCUGAGAUUUUUGAAUUUUUUCUUUACAUCCUACUCUGUGAAGAACAGCAAACAGAAACACGCCUGUUAGCAAACCAACACAUAGACCUAGGGGGUAUUACCAGAAUGAACCUGUAAAUAGAUAGCACACAACUACAUCAUAACAACAUUGCUAUGAAAUUACAGAGAGCCUGAAGUGACAAAUAAGACAUAGCCUUUAUAAUUGUGGCCAGUCUUUAGAGACAAAAACAAUUAAUUAUAUUGAAUUGUGCCCUUUGCAAGAGCUGAGCUAUUCUAAUGG